GUUUGUUAGCCUAAAUGGAAAGCAGUUUGUUAUUUUCUUCCUUAUUCUUUAGUCCACAUAAUUGUGUUUAUAGGUAGUUGCUUCUUUACCUUGAAACUUGUCACUAAAUAUAGAAAUAGUAGCUCUCUGGAUCUAAUUUUUUUUUACUUUUUAGUUACCGUAAAACAAUUAAUUCCUUUUUUAAAUCUUCUUAACUAUUGUAGCAUGUGCAGCAGGGGCCAUUGGAGGUCUCACGAAGAUGAGAGACUUAGGGAGUUAGUUGAAAAAUAUGGACCUCAUAAUUGUUAUGCUAUAGCACAAAAACUUCAAGGAAGAUCAGACUUGUAGGCUUGGAUGGUUGAAUCAAUCGCAAGGCUUUGACAAAAGAGGAAGAAUAUAUAAAAGCUCGUCAUUUCCUGGUCGAACUAUAUAUAUGUUUGAAUUAAUGCAUCAAUAUUUAGUCUUCUGAUAUUGUCUUUUAAUCUUUUAAGAUGUCUUUUUAAAAUUUUGUAGCACAUAUAUCUAGUAAAUUGUAAUAUAUGUAUUUAGUUAUUUGUGCAAGACUUAUUGUUUCUAUUUUGAGUAGUAUAAAUAAUGAUGUAGUUGAUAAUUGUAAUAAUCUCAAGUGACCUUGAGUAACUUGUAAUAAACUUGAGCAUUCUCUAAA
rnacentral:lncRNA from 1 species